AAAGAUGACAGCAUCAUGGUGUUAUUUUUACACAGAGAUUGGUGCACAAAUGUGUUUCAACUGUGUUCUCGUGUCGUGCCAUCCAGUUCCCUUCAGAAAGAGGAGAGUCUGAUGUAAGAACAGGUCUUCUCAGGGGAAUCAUGUUACCUGUUGUAUCUUCAGCUCAAAACAGACUGAGAAAUAUGAGGAAUGAAACGUGAAGCUCGAGGUCAGUGUGAGACUCGACUGCGAAUGAAUGCAAAUGGCAAACACAUUCAUUGUGUUUCAUCACUGAUGCUACAAUGACAUUGUUCUGCUUCUCUUGCUAACCAGGGAGGAGCACUGAAUUGAUCAAGUUUGGUUUUCAAAGCCUGACCUUACAGUCUCCGUGCUGAUCUUCUUUCAGCAUUCAAUUCAUCUGCAUAUUAUACUAUCAUACCAGCCAUUUUUAUCUCUUUUAUACAUUUUAACAAAGAUAUUUGAGUCUCAGAGUCUCUCAUUUAAUUAAUUUCUUCUUAUUUGCACAUAGACUUGCAUAUCUGGGGUCAGUAAGGAUUUUUUUUUUUUUAAUAUAUGAAAGAAAUUACUUUUUUAUGCAGAACUGAUGCUUUAAAAUGAUCAAUAGUGACAGUAAAUACUUUUGUUACAAAAGAUUCUAUUUUAAAUAAAUGCUGUUCUUUUGAACUUUCUAUUCA
ensembl:lncRNA